UACAGAGGGGGCAAGCGUUAUUCGGAAUUAUUGGGCGUAAAGGGCGCGUAGGCGGCAGGCCAAGCGUGCGGUGAAAGUCCGGGGCUCAACCCCGGAUCUGCCGUGCGGACUGGUUUGCUAGAGCACUGUAGAGGCGAGUGGAAUUCCGAGUGUAGAGGUGAAAUUCGUAGAUAUUCGGAGGAACACCAGUGGCGAAGGCGGCUCACUGGCUCGACACUGACGCUGAGGUGCGAAAGCUAGGGGAGCAAACGG
rnacentral:rRNA from 1 species